rnacentral:rRNA from 1 species
AACGAACGCUGGCGGCAUGCCUAACACAUGCAAGUCGAACGAUGCCUUCGGGCAUAGUGGCGCACGGGUGCGUAACGCGUGGGAAUCUGCCUUUCGGUUCGGAAUAACUCAGGGAAACUUGAGCUAAUACCGGAUAACGUCGCAAGACCAAAGAUUUAUCACCGAAAGAUGAGCCCGCGUAGGAUUAGCUAGUUGGUGAGGUAAAGGCUCACCAAGGCGACGAUCCUUAGCUGGUCUGAGAGGAUGAUCAGUCACACUGGGACUGAGACACGGCCCAGACUCCUACGGGAGGCAGCAGUGGGGAAUAUUGGACAAUGGGCGAAAGCCUGAUCCAGCAAUGCCGCGUGAGUGAUGAAGGCCUUAGGGUUGUAAAGCUCUUUUACCCGGGAAGAUAAUGACGGUACCGGGAGAAUAAGCCCCGGCUAACUCCGUG